AACGACUCUCGGCAACGGAUAUCUCGGCUCUCGCAUCGAUGAAGAACGCAGCAAAAUGCGAUACUUGGUGUGAAUUGCAGAAUCCCGUGAAUCAUCGAGUUUUUGAACGCAAGUUGCGCCCGAAGCCAUCCGGCCAAGGGCACGUCUGCCUGGGUGUCACGC
rnacentral:rRNA from 5 species